rnacentral:rRNA from 1 species
CCUACGGGAGGCAGCAGUGGGGAAUAUUGGGCAAUGGAGGAAACUCUGACCCAGCAACUCCGCGUGAGUGAUGAAGGUCUUCGGAUUGUAAAGUUCUUUUCUAGGGGACGAAGAAAGUGACGGUACCAUAGGAAUAAGCCGCGGCUAAGUACGUACCAGCAGCCGCGGUAAUACGUAGGAGGCGAGCGUUAUACGGGAUGACUGGGCGUAAAGGGUGCGUAGGUGGUUUGGCAAGAUAGUAGCGUAACCCCAAGGCUUAACCUUGGAACUACUACUAAAACUGUUGGACUUGAGUGCAGGAGGGGCAACCGGAAUUCCUAGUGUAGCGGUGGAAUGCGUAGAUAUGAGGAGGAACACCAGUGGCGAAGGCGGGUUGCUAGACUGUAACUGACACUGAGGCACGAAAGCGUGGGGAGCAAACAGGAUUAGAUACCCGGGUAGUC